rnacentral:rRNA from 1 species
UACGUAGGGUGCAAGCGUUGUCCGGAAUUAUUGGGCGUAAAGAGCUCGUAGGCGGUCUGUCGCGUCGGCUGUGAAAACUCGGGGCUCAACCCCGAGCCUGCAGUCGAUACGGGCAGACUAGAGUGCUGUAGGGGAGACUGGAAUUCCUGGUGUAGCGGUGAAAUGCGCAGAUAUCAGGAGGAACACCGGUGGCGAAGGCGGGUCUCUGGGCCGAUACUGACGCUGAGGAGCGAAAGCGUGGGGAGC